UACGUAGGUGGCAAGCGUUGUCCGGAUUUACUGGGCGUAAAGGGCGUGCAGGCGGUCUGUUAAGUGCAGGGUGAAAGCUCCCGGCUCAACUGGGAGAGGUCCUUGCAUACUGGCGGACUUGAGGGGGGUAGAGGAAAGUGGAAUUCCCGGUGUAGUGGUGAUAUGCGUAGAUAUCGGGAGGAACACCAGUGGCGAAGGCGGCUUUCUGGCCCGUUCUUGACGCUGAGGCGCGAAAGCUAGGGUAGCAAACGGG
rnacentral:rRNA from 1 species